UACAGAGGGGGCUAGCGUUGUUCGGAAUUACUGGGCGUAAAGCGCACGUAGGCGGCUUGACAAGUCUGAUGUGAAAUCUAUGGGCUCAACCCAUAGUCUGCAUCGGAAACUGUCGGGCUUGAGUAUGGGAGAGGUGAGUGGAAUUUCCGGUGUAGCGGUGAAAUGCGUAGAUAUCGGAAGGAACACCUGUGGCGAAAGCGGCUCACUGGACCAUUACUGACGCUGAGGCACGAAAGCUAGGGGAGCAAACAGG
rnacentral:rRNA from 1 species